rnacentral:rRNA from 1 species
UACGGGAGGCAGCAGUGGGGAAUAUUGCACAAUGGGCGCAAGCCUGAUGCAGCCAUGCCGCGUGUAUGAAAAAGGCCUUCGGGUUGUAAAGUACUUUCAGUCGUGAGGAAGGUGUUAAGGUUAAUAACCUUAGCAAUUGACGUUAGCGACAGAAGAAGCACCGGCUAACUCCGUGCCAGCAGCCGCGGUAAUACGGAGGGUGCGAGCGUUAAUCGGAAUUACUGGGCGUAAAGGGCACGCAGGCGGUUAAUUAAGUUGGAUGUGAAAUCCCCGGGCUUAACCUGGGAAUGGCAUUCAAGACUGGUUAGCUAGAGUCUUGUAGAGGGGGUAGAAUUCCAUGUGUAGCGGUGAAAUGCGUAGAGAUGUGGAGGAAUACCGGUGGGCGAAGGCGGCCCCUGGGACAAAGGACUGACGCUCAUGUGCGAAAGCGUGGGGAGCAAACG